UACGUAGGGUCCGAGCGUUGUCCGGAAUUAUUGGGCGUAAAGGGCUCGUAGGCGGUUUGUCGCGUCGGGAGUGAAGACACCGGGCUUAACUCGGUGCUUGCUUUCGAUACGGGCAGACUAGAGGUAUGCAGGGGAGAACGGAAUUCCUGGUGUAGCGGUGAAAUGCGCAGAUAUCAGGAGGAACACCGGUGGCGAAGGCGGUUCUCUGGGCAUUACCUGACGCUGAGGAGCGAAAGUGUGGGGAGCGAACAGG
rnacentral:rRNA from 1 species